rnacentral:rRNA from 1 species
CCUACGGGAGGCAGCAGUCGAGAAUCAUUCACAAUGGGGGAAACCCUGAUGGUGCGACGCCGCGUGGGGGAAUGAAGGUCUUCGGAUUGUAAACCCCUGUCAUGUGGGAGCAAAUUAAAAAGAUAGUACCACAAGAGGAAGAGACGGCUAACUCUAUUCCAGCAGCCGCGGUAAUACAGAGGUCUCAAGCGUUGUUCGGAAUCACUGGGCGUAAAGCGUGCGUAGGCUGUUUCGUAAGUCGUGUGUGAAAGGCGCGGGCUCAACCCGCGGACGGCACAUGAGACUGCGAGACUAGAGUACUGGAGGGGGAAGCGGAAUUCUCGGUGUAGCAGUGAAAUGCGUAGAUAUCGAGAGGAACACCCGUGGCGAAGGCGGGUUCCUGGACAUUAACUGACGCUGAGGCACGAAGGCCAGGGGAGCGAAAGGGAUUAGAUACCCGAGUAGUC